GAGAGAAUCCUAAGGCCGGCGGAAGAAGUAUUGUUAAGGAACUCGGCAAAAUGACCCCGUAACUUCGGGAGAAGGGGUGCCUGCGAGAGCAGGCCGCAGAGAAGAGGCCCAAGCAACUGUUUAGCAAAAACACAGGUCUAUGCAAAACCGAAAGGUGAGGUAUAUGGGCUGACGCCUGCCCGGUGCUGGAAGGUUAAGGGGAGUGGUCAGGAAACGAAGCCACGAACUUAAGCCCCAGUAAACGGCGGCCGUAACUAUAACGGUCCUAAGGUAGCGAAAUUCCUUGUCGGGUAAGUUCCGACCCGCACGGAAGGCGUAAUGAUUUGGGCGCUGUCUCGACAAUACAUCCGGUGAAAUUGAAGUGCCAGUGAAGAUGCUGGCUGCCUGCGCCAGGACGGAAAGACCCCAUGGAGCCUUACUCCAGCUUGAUACUGGGACCCGGUAUUGCAUGUACAGGAUAGGUGGGAGGCUAGGAAAUGUGGACGCCAGUCUGCAUGGAGCCGCUGUUGGGAUACCACCCUUGUGGUGCUGGGUUUCUAACCAGAGGCCGUGAACCGGUCUGGGGACAAUGUCAGGUGGGGAGUUUGACUGGGGCGGUCGCCUCCGAAAGGGUAUCGGAGGCGCCCAAAGGUUCCCUCAGAAUGGUUGGAAACCAUUCGAAGAGUGCAAAGGCAGAAGGGAGCUUGACUGCGACACCGACGGGUGGAGCAGGUACGAAAGUAGGGCUUAGUGAUCCGGUGGAAUUUAAGUGGGAAUGCCAUCGUUCAACGGAUAAAAGCUACCCUGGGAUAACAGGCUGAUCACUCCCAAGAGUUCACAUCGACGGAGUGGUUUGGCACCUCGAUGUCGGCUCAUCGCAUCCUGGGGCUGAAGUCGGUCCCAAGGGUUGGGCUGUUCGCCCAUUAAAGCGGUACGCGAGCUGGGUUCAGAACGUCGUGAGACAGUUCGGUCCCUAUCCGGCGUGGGCGUAGGAUAUCUGAGAGGAGCUGUCCUUAGUACGAGAGGACCGGGAUGGACUGACCUCUGGUGUACCGGUUGGCGAUCAACGCCACGGCCGGGCAGCCAUGUCGGGACGGGAUAAACGCUGAAGGCAUCUAAGCGUGAAGCCCCCCUCAAGAUGAGAUAUCCCAUCGUAAGAGUAAGACCCCUUGAAGACGACGAGGUUGAUAGGGCAGGGGUGGAAGUGCCGUAAGGCAUGGAGCUGACUGCUACUAAUCGGUCGAGGGCUUGACCG
rnacentral:rRNA from 1 species